GCCCGCAGCCUGCGGCAGAGGCCGGGGGAGCGGGCCGCGGUGCAGGCCCGGGCUGCGGCCGCUCGCGGGGGCGCCCGCCGGCUGAGGCUGCUGCCGCCUGCCCUGGGGGCAACGCGCGCCCCCGGCCUUCCGAGGGGCCCGGAGUCUGUGAUGGGCCAGCGGGGCGGCGGGGAGAGCAGCUAGCAAGCGCUUAAGGAGCGGACGUAACAGUGCGCCGCGAACGUCCCCCUGGCUUUCCGUUAUUGCCGCGCUGUCAAACACAAGCAAAGUUACCGUGAAAAUCCAGAUCCCCGUCUUGGCUGUGUCAGAUUCGUGGUUCCUGAAGGCCUGUAAUGAUGCUGGAAUUGUUUAGCUGCCGGCUGAGAUGUACAGUAUGCUCUCCUGGAUAAGCUGUUCUUCUGAAAGUGCCCAUUUUAGUGUGGUGCGUUUGCUGUGAUAAAAUCCCACACUCCCUCCCUUCCUCUGAAGAAUAAUGACACUCUCAUCUGAAAGAAUGAGAUCUUUUUCUUUCUCUUUUGUUCUGUUUUGUCAGUGUCAGCUCUGACGAGGUGACAGACAAACAGCUAGUACCUUGAAGAUCGACGUGCUUUAUUGUGUAAAUUUCUGGCCUGAUAGUUUACACACGGUAUUGUCUGGCUGAAAUGCACCAGGGUCUUCUGUAGGUGCUUUUCUACCCUGGGAGCUGGGUUUUAUUUGGGAAAACCAAUAAAAAUGUUAAUUCCAACAGAA